rnacentral:rRNA from 1 species
GACGAACGCUGGCGGCGUGCCUAACACAUGCAAGUCGAACGGAGCAGAUCCCUUCGGGGGUUUGCUUAGUGGCGAACGGGUGAGUAACGCGUGAGGAACCUGCCUUUCAGAGGGGAACAACAGUUAGAAAUGACUGCUAAUACCGCAUAUGCCUUAACUAUCGCAUGAUAGAAGAGGGAAAGGAGAAAUCCGCUAACAGAUGGGCUUGCGUCUGAUUAGAUAGUUGGUGGGGUAACGGCCUACCAAGUCGACGAUCAGUAACCGGACUGAGAGGUUGAACGGCCACAUUGGGACUGAGAUACGGCCCAG